rnacentral:rRNA from 1 species
AACGCGUGGGAACGUACCUUUUGGUUCGGAACAACACAGGGAAACUUGUGCUAAUACCGGAUAAGCCCUUACGGGGAAAGAUUUAUCGCCGAAAGAUCGGCCCGCGUCUGAUUAGCUAGUUGGUGAGGUAACGGCUCACCAAGGCGACGAUCAGUAGCUGGUCUGAGAGGAUGAUCAGCCACAUUGGGACUGAGACACGGCCCAAACUCCUACGGGAGGCAGCAGUGGGGAAUAUCGGACAAUGGGCGCAAGCCUGAUCCAGCCAUGCCGCGUGAGUGAUGAAGGCCCUAGGGUUGUAAAGCUCUUUUGUGCGGGAAGAUAAUGACGGUACCGCAAGAAUAAGCCCCGGCUAACUUCGUGCCAGCAGCCGCGGUAAUACGAAGGGGGCUAGCGUUGCUCGGAAUCACUGGGCGUAAAGGGUGCGUAGGCGGGUCUUUAAGUCAGGGGUGAAAUCCUGGAGCUCAACUCCAGAACUGCCUUUGAUACUGAAGAUCUUGAGUUCGGGAGAGGUGAGUGGAACUGCGAGUGUAGAGGUGAAAUUCGUAGAUAUUCGCAAGAACACCAGUGGCGAAGGCGGCUCACUGGCCCGAUACUGACGCUGAGGCACGAAAGCGUGGGGAGCAAAC